UACGUAGGGCGCGAGCGUUGUCCGGAAUCAUUGGGCGUAAAGAGCUCGUAGGCGGCCUGUCGCGUCUGCUGUGAAAUCCCGGGGCUUAACCCCGGGCGUGCAGUGGAUACGGGCUGGCUGGAGGCAGGCAGGGGAGAACGGAAUUCCCGGUGUAGCGGUGAAAUGCGCAGAUAUCAGGAGGAACACCGGUGGCGAAGGCGGUGCUCUGGGCCGAAACUGACACUGAGGAGCGAAAGCGUGGGGAGCGAACAGG
rnacentral:rRNA from 1 species